rnacentral:tRNA from 1 species
GGCCUUGUAGUGUAGUGGUCAACAUACUUGCUUUGGGUGCAAGUGGCCUGGGUUCGAAUCCCAGCAAGGCCC